rnacentral:rRNA from 1 species
CGUAGGGUGCGAGCGUUAAUCGGAAUUACUGGGCGUAAAGCGUGUGCAGGCGGUUUUGUAAGACAGAUGUGAAAUCCCCGGGCUCAACCUGGGACCUGCAUUUGUGACUGCAAGGCUAGAGUACGGUAGAGGGGGAUGGAAUUCCGCGUGUAGCAGUGAAAUGCGUAGAUAUGCGGAGGAACACCGAUGGCGAAGGCAAUCCCCUGGACCUGUACUGACGCUCAUGCACGAAAGCGUGGGGAGCAAACAGGAUUAGAUACCCUGGUAGUCCACGCCCUAAACGAUGUCAACUGGUUGUUGGGUCUUUACUGACUCAGUAACGAAGCUAACGCGUGAAGUUGACCGCCUGGGGAGUACGGCCGCAAGGUUG